GUGCAAGAAAGCAGAAAACAAGUAUGGGAGAGAUCCCUCGACAUGCCAAACACACUCUGCACAUUUUACACACACUCGUAUAUAUCUUAGAUUAUGCAGAAUAUUGCCUCUGACAUGAUAAAUUAAAAAGAUUAAAAUGUUACUAAUCAUGAUAUCUCCUGGAAACUACAAAUUAUUGAAAAAUCAUUUUUUAACCCUGUGCUACUUAAGUCAUUGUGGAAUGUGAGAUGGUAUAGUAUGAGUUUCUUAUUCUUGAUAUCAUUGUUGCUUGGAGAAUUUAUUCAAAAUUCUAGCUACCAUCCUCAGUGUUAUAUGCCUGAUAAAACUGAAAAUAUUAAUUAUGAUUAUAAAAGCUAUCUACUCUGUAUUGAGUUUGUUCAAAAUGAGUUAGACCCUUGUUGAGAGAUUUAUCAUGCUCCUAAGAUCAAGACAUUAUUCAGAAAGAUUCACUCUUCCGAAGUAUUAUUGCAUUAGAGGCACGGGCUAUGCAAAAAUAAAGAUAUUUCGAGGAAAUAAAAAGGAGCAAGUGCUCGAUAACCUCGCAGAAAAAAAUGGACAAGCAGUAGAAUUAGGGGUACCUCGGUAUCCACUUAAAAAAAAGAAAGAGAGAAAAAAGAAAAUGAUAGCCCAUGGUCCCUCUAAUAAGCAAUAUGCUAGCAAGAGUUGACAAAGAUUUUAAUUUCCAAAGUCUUUGAUCUAAGAGUAUGACAUUCUUCUCCUCGGAUCCCGUUUUGAUCAGGCAAUAAAUGCAAAGUAAGUGUGCUUGAGAAUUUUCUUUUCAAAGUAUGAGGAUAAAAAGUAUGCUAACUUUCUUUUCAAAAAUAUACAAAAACUCCAAGUGACAGGUGUUG
rnacentral:lncRNA from 1 species